UAUGAAUCUUUGGAAAAUAUUUUUUGUGCUU
rnacentral:piRNA from 1 species